AUGAGUAAUGGGCAUUGCCCCUCACAUUUGUCUUCCUUCCCAAAUCAUUCUCCUUUCAGGAAAAAGAGUUUGAAAUAUGAGAAAUCAAGGGGUUUGGGAGUUUUCAGGGGAAAGGAGAUGAGAAUGAAGUAGGUGAGGACUUUUAGUUGAUUCAGACACUCAAGGGCAUCACUGGUAAACUUUAGGGGAGUCUAGAAACUGAUGGGGGAUCAAUUGACUUGGUUUGAGAACAAGUGAACCAGGAUGUGAACUGCAAGAUGUGGUAUUUCAUUUGGUUUCUCUCUGGGAUGAAUUGAUUUGCUGGCCAGAAAUGAGGCUGAAUUCCUCCAUCAGGUUAAAGGCUGCUGACACAGGGUGUUUGGUUUAGCAGCCUGCCCCAAGCGCCUCAUCUGCAUACUGAUAAAGCCUGCUUCCCUCCCAGCCCAAGCUUGGCAGUGGCCAUUGCUAAUGCAAGCUGUUUGGGGAACAAAGGAGAAUUCAAUCUAGUUUUCACCUUAAUGUAAGUAGGCCAAAAGGAAAGGUUCCUCAUCUUUAUUAAAGUCUACUCCCUUUAUUUUUAAGCGGGCAACUACCUUUAGUUACAUUUCACAGACUUCUGCUGCCUCAGAGACUGAAAGAACUUCAGUUUUUCUUAAUCUUCCCCUUUGCCCUAAUCAGGCAUCUCUUCUCCAGAUUUUCUAAGACACUCUAUUAAUUUGCUAGUGCUGCCAAGAUGAGGUACCACAGACUGGGUGGCUCAAACAACAGAAACUUGUUUUCUCAUGAUUCUGGAGCGUAGGAGCCCAAGAUCAACAAGAUCAAGGCAUCAGCAAGGUUGGUUCCUUCUUAGGCCUCUCUUCUUGGCUUGCAGAUGACCAUCUUCUCUCUGUGUCUUCAUUCACAGGCUCUCUCUCUGUGUGCCUGCCCUAAUCUCCUACUCUUAUAAGGACACCAGUCAUAUUGGAUUAGGCCCAACCAUAUGGCCUCAUUUGACCUUAAAUACCUCUGUAAGGACUCAUCUCCAAAUACAGUCACAGUGUGAGGCACGGGAGCUUAGGAUUUCAACAUAUGAAUUUGGGGACAGGAGAGGAAAGGCAAAAUUCAGCCUAUAGCAGACAGGAUCUUUCAGGUGCAACUUCAACCUGGGCAUGACACUUCUGGUCCCAAAUGAUGUAUUAGCCGUCUUUUUUCUAGCCUUGGAAAAUAUUCUGAAUUGAAAUAAAGUAUUGCCUCAAGACAGGCUAGACCUACA
rnacentral:lncRNA from 1 species